rnacentral:piRNA from 1 species
UGCAGCCAACAGAUGGAUGAAAAAAAUGCUC